GCAGCUAUUCUGAGCGGCCAUCACCUGGAUAUCAGAGACAUAAAAUGCACCGCUCAGGAAUGGAAUCUGGGCAAAUGACCUUAUAAAAUAACAUGCCAGAUGAGCUUUCAACAGCUCCUUCUCACUUCUCAAAGAGAAACUCUUCUAUGCCACGGCAGAGCAUAAAGCGAUUAAGCAGGGUGGAGAUCGACAUGGAGAGAGGGCGAGCGAAGAAAAAAAAGAAAAAGAGAGAAAUGAGAGAGAGAGAGCAGUGUGGACAUGCCUGCUGUUUACUAUCUCUAUCUCUCUUAUCCAUCAACUCUGCAGCAGCUCACCCAGAAGGACAGCUUGCCACCAAACCAAGGCUGUGGCAAAUUCUUCAAAUACACACACACACAUGGUAUAGAUACGAACAUCUCACAAUAAAGAGAAGGAUAAUUUUG